UGGGGAUAACAUUUGGAAACAGAUGCUAAUACCGAAUAAAACUUAGUAUCGCAUGAUAUCAAGUUAAAAGGCGCUACGGCGUCACCUAGAGAUGGAUCCGCGGUGCAUUAGUUAGUUGGUGGGGUAAAGGCUUACCAAGACGAUGAUGCAUAGCCGAGUUGAGAGACUGAUCGGCCACAUUGGGGCUGAGACACGGCCCAAACUCCUACGGGAGGCUGCAGUAGGGAAUCUUCCACAAUGGGCGCAAGCCUGAUGGAGCAACGCCGCGUGUGUGAUGAGGGCUUUCGGGUCGUAAAGCACUGUUGUAUGGGAAGAAAUGCUAAAAUAGGGAAUGAUUUUAGUUUGACGGUACCAUACCAGAAAGGGACGGCUAAAUACGUGCCAGCAGCCGCGGUAAUACGUAUGUCCCGAGCGUUAUCCGGAUUUAUUGGGCGUAAAGCGAGCGCAGACGGUUGAUUAAGUCUGAUGUGAAAGCCCGGAGCUCAACUCCGGAAUGGCAUGGGAAACUGGUUAACUUGAGUGUUGUAGAGGUAAGUGGAACUCCAUGUGUAGCGGUGGAAUGCGUAGAUAUAUGGAAGACACCAGUGGCGAAGCGGCUUACUGGACAACAACUGACGUUGAGGCUCGAAAGUGUGGGUAGCAAACAGGAUUAGAUACCCUGGUAGUCCACACCGUAAACGAUGAAUACUAGGUGUUAGGAGGUGUCCGCCUCUUAGUGCCGAAGCUAACGCAUUAAGUAUUCCGCCUGGGGAGUACGACCGCAUAGGUUGAUACUCAAAGGAAUUGACGGGGACCCGCACAAGCGGUGGAGCAUGUGGUUUAAUUCGA
rnacentral:rRNA from 1 species